rnacentral:tRNA from 1 species
GACUUAUUGGCUUAAGGACAGAGCUUCAGUCUAGUAAACAGAAGGUCGUUGGUAUUCGAUUCCAGCCUGAGGCA